rnacentral:rRNA from 1 species
CUACGGGAGGCAGCAGUGACGAAUAUUGGUCAAUGGAGGAAACUCUGACCCAGCCAUGCCGCGUACAGGAAGACGGCCCUAUGGGUUGUAAACUGCUUUUGUACGAGAAUAAACCCUUCCACGUGUGGAAGGCUGAAGGUACCGUACGAAUAAGGAUCGGCUAACUCCGUGCCAGCAGCCGCGGUAAUACGGAGGAUCCAAGCGUUAUCCGGAUUUAUUGGGUUUAAAGGGUCCGUAGGCGGGUUUUUAAGUCAGUGGUGAAAGCCUACAGCUUAACUGUAGAAUUGCCAUUGAUACUGGAGACCUUGAGUGUAGUAGAAGUAGGCGGAAUAAGGCAUGUAGCGGUGAAAUGCUUAGAUAUGUCAUAGAACACCGAUUGCGAAGGCAGCCAACUAAGCCAUCAUUGACGCUGAGGGACGAAAGCGUGGGGAGCGAACAGGAUUAGAUACCCUGGUAGUCCACGCCGUAAACGAUGAUUACUCGGUAUUGGCUUCGGUCAGUGCCCAAGCGAAAGUGAUAAGUAAUCCACCUGGGGAGUAUGCCCGCAAGGGUGAAACUCAAAG